UCAAGUAGCAUACCACCCUGCAUCCCACUGCUGGCUUGCUUCUGAAGCUAAGCAGGGUUGGUCCUGGUCGGUCCCUGCAUGGCAGACCAGCUGCUGUUGGAA
rnacentral:rRNA from 1 species